AUUAUGCAUAUAUGUAUGUAUAUAUAUUAUAUUUAGCUCUGGAAUUGAAUUUGAAAUAAGCAACAAGGAGUUCAAUUCUGAUGUAGGUGAAAUUUGUAAGAUUUAGACGGGUUCUAAAAUGUUCAGGUGUAAGCUAUAAUACCCUUCACAGGUGUUUUUUUAUUUCAUAAAAGGGUGUAACCAGACCUUUAUCUUGAUUUUGAUCGAUCAUUAAUAUAAAAUAAAGUAAGAAAGGGUUAAGUUCGAUUGCAAUUUACAAAAAUCAAAACCAGCGAAAUAGUAGUAUCGACCGAAUUUUAUCUAUUUUUCAAAUACUACAGACCAUAGAUAUGCCACGGACUAAUAAAAUGUUCCCUGAGAUUCAUUAAAGUACCUCACAUGCCAUUAUCAAUAAUAUGGUGUAAAGUCACUCGGAUGUUAUAUGGGGGCUAGGUCAAGUUUUGGUCCAAUUUUAUCCAUUAUAGGCAAAAAAAAUACGUUGUUAUCAAUAUCUCAGAAAUUGUCAUAAGAUGGCCUAGUAUUCUUGCAAAGUUUUAUCCUGUUAUAUUAAUUUGGUUGUUGUUUUGUUCACUGCAAAGGAAUGAGUCAGACAGAAUUUAAAACUGUGUUAUAUGGGAAGUGGGGUGGUUGCAUUAUCGCAGAGCAUGUGUAUUUCGGUGAUCUAACCCUUCCUCAACUACUAUUAGCUAUCCAGACAGGCGAUGCCCAGCUUGAAAGAUUUAAUAUAUGGAUCCUAGUAAUAAAAAAACGUCCCUGGGUAGAGAACCUGAAGUCUUGCCAGAUGCUAAACCACAUAGACUCGACAGGAGUAGGUUUCUUAAACAAGGUCCCUAACCUGUCGCUGGUCAAUCUUCAAAUACUCGAUGUGUGUAAAGUUGGAAGCGUGGUUCCACUAUUGAAACCUUGUCAUCAAAGGAGAGUAUUAUCGUCCGAUAACUGUUCUUUCCAAAGUAGUAAAAACACUUCAGACCUUGCUGCUCCCGACGUUUACUCAACAUCCGAGUCACCACCAAAGCACUUAGCGUCAUAAACGCCCAGAUAGUUCGUGGCCGGUUCUGGAACCUUUUAUUUUGUUGGAGGAAUAAAGUAACGAACAGAUUAAAAGAAACAUCUAAAGCAAUCACGGUGAUUCACUUGAUGUCCGAAAGGAAUGGUAUGAGAAAUAUAACUUGUAUUUACUACUUUGCUUGUAUGUGUUUACAUGCUUACAUUGCAGACUUAUAUCACCGACUGAUUAAAAACGCAUUUGUUGUAGAUUAUUAUUAUUAGCUGUUGUAAAUCCUCUUAAACUAACUGCAUUUUUCCAGAAGCUCGAUAAUUAUAGUAUUAUGUAUUUUAUUUUCCCCCAUAAAGAUAAGUUAAUUGGUAACAAUAAAAAAAAAAAAACAAAUUACUUAUUUUACAAUAAUAUUUAACCUGUUUCAAUUUGUUUCUGACAACAAACCUCAUAAAAUCGGUAACCGAGACACUCAAAAGCAAUAGUUUUUCUGUUUCAAACAUCAAACCAGUAAUAUCUGAAUUCGUGACAUCUUCCUUUUUUUUAUCGGUUUCAAUUUUGAACCAACAACUAACAGAUUCUACAACACCCCUGAAUAUCUCAAUACUCACUCAACGACCAAAAAGAAUUUCCAUCAAAACGUACGCUAAUAAAUGCACUGUUUGGAGAAUGGGCAUUGGAAUGCUGGCAUGUGCUCAAACGUAAACUGCUAUCUCUCCGACCUUUUAACACUAGAAAGACGAAGGUUGGUUUAUACUUCCUUUCGGCAAUGUAGGUAUAACACACAUAUAUAUAUAUGUAUAUAUAUUGAAAGUGAAGGAGGGGGCAAAAGCAAUGAUUAAUUAAUCCAUUUACAUAAGUAUACAUAUGUACAUAUGUUGUAGAAAAUACACAAAAUUAUUAGAAGUUAUGUCAAUAUUUAAAGCACUAUUUUUUUAAUUGAAAUUCGAAAGCAGUCAAAAUGACUUCCUUAGGGAAUCUAGUGUUAAGCUUCUUCUUUGCAACACUAUUCACCACUAAACUGACAGCAAUCAUAUGCACGAACUAGACGAAGGAGUACAGACUGAACCUCCGACGGUGAUUAAUGCUAAGAUUUUAGGUGUAACAUUGGACAGCCAGUAGUCCUUCACUACUCAUACGACCGUGAUAAUUGCAAGGAGACAGAGCCGCAACAAAAUCUACAAGCCGGUAGCUCAUAAUGAAAAGACAAUGAAACGUUGUUGGUAACAUACAAGGCAAUCGGCAGAUCGGUCUUAAAAUACACUGUACCUGGAUGUAGCCGAAAUAACUUCAGACGGGUCAAAACACUGAACUCUGGACUAUAACCUAAUGCCUCUUGAUGUCUACGGUCGAACACCUACACUGCGAGACCCGUAUGCUUCGUUUUAAGGACCAUAAUGAAAUUCUCCAAGCAUUUUCUGCUGGGAUGUUUUCGAAGAAACCACCUUUGCAAUCGUUUGAUUGAAGCGUAGCCGCGUCCUAAGAAAAAAGAGGGCCAAUCUUGGCUACUUCGACGACAUCACGCACUGACUGCAGUUCACAGGGGAGUUAUUAACCUUAACACAUUCACCGGCUCCCUCUCAGUGACCCUUGCGCAACUUCGUUUUAGAUACUGACAGUUUAAACUAAAGACCCCGCACGUCUAACCAUCUUUUUGCAUGCCCAGCAAACCCUCUAACACUCUUGUCCCUAAGGUCACGCUGAUCAUACUAUAUAUUAACUCAUUAGGGUAUAUCGUUUUCUUCUGGGUGUUACAAACUUCGCUGCAAACCUAACACAUCCUGCUCAGGGUAUAAUAAUAUUACGGAUGAGUGAGAUAAGCUUUAUUUGACAAAAUUGCCAAGCGAAAAUGUGGACGCCUCAUAACGGGAUUUUAAUCAGGCUCGUGGUCCACAUUGGACAAGAGUCUCCGUAAUUUGCCAUUAACAAUGUUUGAAAAAAUGUUAAAAUGUGUUGCACAUUUAAAUUCCGUAUUCGUAAAUUUAAUGUGUUUGUGGAAUAAAUAACACAUCGAUAACACACCGUAAACAUAAUUAUCCUUCUUCUGAGCGUGUUAGAUAUUCUACAAAUUGUAAUUAAGGCCCCUAUUGCGGUUUGCAAUUAACUUUUGUUUGAAAUUAUUAAAUCCGGUAUUAUUGAUAUCAAUUCAACCUGCCAAAAAAUAUUUCGUUGAAGUGUUGUCAAAAUUUAACUUUUUUGUGGUAUUACGAUUUUCAACUCUGCCUGUGGGGUUUACCAGAGUAUCAAAAGAAUAAAACUUCAAUUGGAAAAAUGAAAAAGGUGAGGAAAUACUGUAUUUAUAUUUUUAAGGAAUUUGAAUCAUUUAUUUUGUACAAAUUUAUAGAAAGGCGAAACAUUUCUUGAGCCUCGGGAACAAAAUCGCGGUGCUGGACGAGGCAUUGUAGUUUGCAAACAUCAAAUGGAAACAGUAAAAAUAAAAUUAAUGUGCCGUGGGAAGUAUUUCGGACAUAAAGAAUCAGUUUAAUCUUCGAUUCCCUUUUUGAAAAGUUUCGCUUCUUUUGGCCAUUUGUGUUAUAUCUAAUGCACACAAAUACGGUGUUUUCCCAUUUGCAUCACGCGAAUUUACCUUUGGCCCGACUUUAAGCGUCCACCUAAAGGCCCCCAUUAUGGUUUUCAAUCCAACUGCAUUUUAAUUCAAGUUUUUGAACUCCGUGCCAAUGGGGCUGACUACCUGUCGAGUAUCAAAAAUUUUCAACUGCUAACAAGGAGAUGUAGUAAAACAUUAAUGAAUUUAUUUAGAAAAAAUAUUGAAAGAAAAUGGGAAAUGGAUAAAAAGAACUAUUUAUUAUUUCAAACUAUGUUAAUCAGUUACUAAGUAUAAAUCCAUAGAAAGGUGACGAAACAAACUACAAUUUGGAAACAUUAAAUUAAACUCACCUUUUUGUGAGCAAUAUCUAAAUGAA
rnacentral:lncRNA from 1 species